GACGAACGCUGGCGGCGUGCUUAACACAUGCAAGUCGAACGGAAAGGCCCUGCUUUUGUGGGGUGCUCGAGUGGCGAACGGGUGAGUAACACGUGAGUAACCUGCCCUUGACUUUGGGAUAACUUCAGGAAACUGGGGCUAAUACCGGAUAGGAGCUCCUGCUGCAUGGUGGGGGUUGGAAAGUUUCGGCGGUUGGGGAUGGACUCGCGGCUUAUCAGCUUGUUGGUGGGGUAGUGGCUUACCAAGGCUUUGACGGGUAGCCGGCCUGAGAGGGUGACCGGCCACAUUGGGACUGAGAUACGGCCCAGACUCCUACGGGAGGCAGCAGUGGGGAAUAUUGCACAAUGGGCGGAAGCCCGAUGCAGCAACGCCGCGUGCGGGAUGACGGCCUUCGGGUUGUAAACCGCUUUCGCCUGUGACGAAGCGUGAGUGACGGUAAUGGGUAAAGAAGCACCGGCUAACUACGUG
rnacentral:rRNA from 1 species